UUAAAUUGAGAGUUUGAUCCUGGCUCAGGAUGAACGCUGGCGGCGUGCCUAAUACAUGCAAGUCGAACGGAACUUCUUUAUCACCGAGUGCUUGCACUCACCGAUAAAGAGUUGAGUGGCGAACGGGUGAGUAACACGUGGGCAACCUGCCCAAAAGAGGGGGAUAACACUUGGAAACAGGUGCUAAUACCGCAUAACCAUAGUUACCGCAUGGUAACUAUGUAAAAGGUGGCUAUGCUACCACUUUUGGAUGGGCCCGCGGCGCAUUAGCUAGUUGGUGAGGUAAAGGCUUACCAAGGCAAUGAUGCGUAGCCGAACUGAGAGGUUGAUCGGCCACAUUGGGACUGAGACACGGCCCAAACUCCUACGGGAGGCAGCAGUAGGGAAUCUUCCACAAUGGGCGAAAGCCUGAUGGAGCAACGCCGCGUGGGUGAAGAAGGUCUUCGGAUCGUAAAACCCUGUUGUUAGAGAAGAAAGUGCGUGAGAGUAACUGUUCACGUUUCGACGGUAUCUAACCAGAAAGCCACGGCUAACUACGUGCCAGCAGCCGCGGUAAUACGUAGGUGGCAAGCGUUAUCCGGAUUUAUUGGGCGU
rnacentral:rRNA from 2 species